CAUGUAGUGUAAAUCAUGUUUUGUCUACAUGCAGUCGAUACACGAUGUAGGCCUUGUGUAGAUUAAGUGUACACAAAACUAGGCAUUUAAAACAUAAGUUUAACCGUGUAUAUUUAAGGAAGAAACGAUUUUUUAAUAACAUUGAUAUUUAUAAUAAUUAUUAGUAAAGUUCUUUACAGAAAUAUUUGUCUAAACUUGAUAAUUUUAUAUUUAUUUGUUUUUUUAGAAAAAAAAUUAACGUAGAUUUAUUAACCCCUUAUCAAGAAUCAAAGCAGCAUCAUCGCCGAAC
rnacentral:lncRNA from 1 species